rnacentral:tRNA from 10 species
AAUUUGCUGGGCAACGGUAGAUUUGCCUGGGCCGCCUUUUGUGCCGCCAACCACAAUGAUCUUGGUCAUUGGUGAGUUCCC